GUGGGGCUUCGGCCCUAUCGAGAUAGAACCCUUGCCUUUUUGAGUACCUUUCGUUUCCUCGGUAGGCUCGCCUGCCGAUGGACAAACAAACCAAACCCUGUAUUAUCAUCUGUAAUAGUCUGAGUAAACAAAAAUUAAAUCAAAACUUUCAACAACGGAUCUCUUGGUUCU
rnacentral:misc_RNA from 1 species